rnacentral:rRNA from 1 species
UACGUAGGGGGCAAGCGUUGUCCGGAUUUAUUGGGCGUAAAGAGCGUGUAGGCGGCCAGACAGGUCCGUUGUGAAAACUCGAGGCUCAACCUCGAGACGCCGAUGGAAACCGUCUGGCUAGAGUCCGGAAGAGGAGAGUGGAAUUCCUGGUGUAGCGGCGAAAUGCGCAGAUAUCAGGAAGAACACCAGUGGCGAAGGCGACUUACUGGACACAUAUUGACGCUGAGGUGCGAAAGCGUGGGGAGCAAACAGG